rnacentral:rRNA from 1 species
AGUGAACGCUGGCGGUAGGCCUAACACAUGCAAGUCGAACGGCAUCACAGUAAGAGCUUGCUCUUACGGGUGGCGAGUGGCGGACGGGUGAGGAAUACAUCGGAAUCUACUUCUUCGUGGGGGAUAACGUAGGGAAACUUACGCUAAUACCGCAUACGACCUACGGGUGAAAGCAGGGUAUCUUCGGACCUUGCGCGAUUGAAUGAGCCGAUGUCGGAUUAGCUAGUUGGGGGGGUAAAGGCCCACCAAGGGGCCGAUCCGUAGCUGGUCUGAGAGGAUGAUCCUCCGUGCUGGAACUGGGGAACGGUCUAGACUACUCAUGAGGGCAGGAGUGGGGCAUGUUGGACAACGGGCGGAAACCUCAUCCAGCCAUACCACAUGGGUGGAGAAGGCCUUCGGGUUGUAAAGCCCUUUUGUUGGGCAAGAAAAGCAACAGGUUAAUACCCCGCUGUUCUGAAGGUACCCAAAGAAAAAACACCGGCUAACUUUGUG